rnacentral:ncRNA from 2 species
AAGAUGUAUGCUCAUGCUCGCUGUCGCCGCAGGGGAAUCCGGUGCGAAUCCGGAACUGUCCCGCAACGGUGUACUUGUGCAUGCCUUGUGUGUGUACGGGAGUCAGUCCGAGGACCUGCCGACAGCGUGCCCAGGCC